UGAUUCUUAACGGACCAUUCCCCUAUUCCAUUGCUUCUAUUAUAUAGUUCUUCCUGCUGGUAAUUAUCUUCCUUAAUUCUACUUUUACAAGCAUUACACCACCUUCAACAUUCCCUGAAAUGCAACCUUUUCCAACAAUUCCUUGUUUCCUGAUAAGGUCUCCUUUUCCAGAGGUCUGUAAUCAAUUCUUACGAUUUUAUGUUGCCUUGGCAUAUUCAUCUCCAAAUGAAUAUGUUUACUUUUCUCAUACUGAAAGCAGGGCUAUUGUGGAAUAGCUAAAUUAAACUAGUUAACAUUGCAUUACUUUAAAACAUAGUAGAAAAGAUGAAAAUGCAUAGAUGAGAAAUUUCAGUAGAUAAAUUAUAAACAAAAAGGAACUAAGUUGAGAUUCCAGAACUAAAUUAUGCAAAAUAAUAAAUA
rnacentral:lncRNA from 1 species